GUUAGGUUGAUGUUUUGAAAGUAGGAUUAGUUCAACUGAGAUAAACUUACAAUUUCAGUUGAGUGUAGUUGAGAGUUUGUAAAGUGUUUGUAGAGUGUUGAUAUCUCUGAAUUAUUUAUAGAGACUGAAGCAAGCAUGCUGUCUUUCAAGCAUGCUAGUGUUGAUACAUUAUAGAGACUGCAGCAAGCAAGCUGUCUUUCACACAAUAGUAAAGUGUUGCUUUUUCCUGUAGAUUGUACUUCCCUGCUUUUGGCAUCCAUUU
rnacentral:lncRNA from 1 species